GCACAGAUAAUAUUAUAUAAGAACGAUGUUGCCCGUUGUUAAACCAUAACAAUUUUAAGUUAGAAAACUACAAAUUUCAUUUUUACAAAAUAAAUAAGAAAAACAGAAUCGAGGAUGAAGACAACUUUUGUAGCAACAGCUCUUAUAUUCGUGAUUAUGCUCCAGACGUUCUCAGAAAUAGACGCUAAGCCGAUAACGUUACGUAAGCUUAUUAGACGAUUAAGAAGACCAGGCCAGUGCUGCAGACGACAAUGCCCUAUGGGUAAAGCAUGUGUGAGGAUCGGUAGCAGAUGCAGAUGUAGAAAUUUGGUUUUCCUCGGUGUGGCAUGAUAUACCUCGUGCUACAGCAUGUGUGCUCUAUGUGAACUCCGGACCCAGCUUGAGUUUUACACAUGGAACCAUCCGUUUAAGACAUUUCCAACUGUAGAAUCGUAAAACGUUUAUCGAGUGUCACAAUACUACAUCGCAGUUGCCAAAUAAAUACUUAAUGAAUGGUUGGUGUUUGAAGGUGGCAGAUAAGUAAUAUGCUUGUUGUUGAAAUGUGUGACAUAUGCUUUCUGAUAACAAGCUACAUGUAUAUACUGCAUCAAGUUGAAACAGAAUUAACAUUCCAAACAUUUGGUCUGUUGACCGGAUAUGCGUGACGGCAUAUAAAAAGCAAAGUGAACGUGUUGAGGAUGUCAGCUUAUGUUGAUUGUUUUACAUAAAUAAUUGUUCUGUCGUGAAUUCAGUAAUCAGAUGGAGCUAAUACACCACUCCAAAGGACUCUAUGUAUGGUUAUAGGAACUUUUUAAACUGUAAAGAUGCCUAGUCAAAUUUAUUCUGUUGCCAAACUUGUGUGAACCAUUUUGAAUAUUUUUCCUUUUAUUUUACAAUAUUUACUGUUGAUUACAGAUUCUUUAUCAAAAUAUUCUGAAACAAGUUUUGAUGAUCUGAAAAGAGCAAUGGAUUCUAUAUUUCAGAAAAACAAUACGAAUAAUACAUGAUUUAUUGCUUAUUAAAUAAUAGAAAAUGAAUAAA